rnacentral:rRNA from 1 species
AACGUAGGACGCAAACGUUAUCCGGAGUUACUGGGCGUAAAGCGCGUGCAGGCGGACGAGCAAGUCUUCUGUGAAAGCUCCCGGCUAAACUGGGAGAGGUCGGAAGAGACUGCUGGUCUGGAGGGUGGUAGAGGAGCGUGGAAUUCCGCGUGUAGUGGUGAAAUGCGUAGAGAUGCGGAGGAACACCAGUGGCGAAGGCGGCGCUCUGGGCCACACCUGACGCUGAGGCGCGAAGGCAUGGGGAGCGAACGGG